rnacentral:rRNA from 1 species
GAUGAACGCUGGCGGCGUGCCUAAUACAUGCAAGUCGAGCGAACGGACGAGAAGCUUGCUUCUCUGCUGUUAGCGGCGGACGGGUGAGUAAUACGUGGAUAACCUAUCUAUAAGACUGGGAUAACUUCGGGAAACCGUAUCUAACACCGGACAAUAGUUUGAACCGCAUGGUUCAAAAGUGAAAGACGGUCUUGCUGUCACUUAUAGAUGGUUCCGCGCUGCAUUAGCUAGUUGGUAAGGUAACGGCUUACCAAGGCAACGAUGCGUAGCCGACCUGAGAGGGUGAUCAGCCACACUGGAACUGAGACACGGUCCAGACUCCUACGGGAGGCAGCAGUGGGGAAUCUUGCGCAAUGGGCGAAAGCCUGACGGAGCAACGCCGCGUGAGUGAUGAAGGUCUUCGGAUCGUAAAACUCUGUUAUUAGGGAAGAAGGUAUGUGUGAGAAUCUCUGGAUGUCUUGACGGUACCUAAAGAGAAAGCCACGGCUAACUUCGUG